CCUACGGGGGGCAGCAGUGGGGAAUAUUGCGCAAUGGGCGAAAGCCUGACGCAGCGACGCCGCGUGAGGGAUGAAGGUCUUCGGAUCGUAAACCUCUGUCAGCAGGGAAGAAAGGUCACUGUGCUAAUCAGCAGUGAAUUGACGGUACCUGCAAAGGAAGCACCGGCUAACGCCGUGCCAGCAGCCGCGGUAAUACGGAGGGUGCGAGCGUUAAUCGGAAUGACUGGGCGUAAAGCGCUCGUAGGCGGUAUGUCAAGUCAGGGGUGAAAUCCCCGCGCUCAACGUGGGAACUGCCUUUGAAACUGGCAAACUGGAGUGUGUGAGAGGAUAGGGGAAUGCCAGGUGUAGGGGUGAAAUCCGUAGAUAUCUGGAGGAACAUCAGUGGCGAAGGCGACUAUCUGGCACAUAACUGACGCUGAGGAGCGAAAGCGUGGGUAGCAAACAGGAUUAGAUACCCUAGUAGUC
rnacentral:rRNA from 1 species